GCUUUCAUGGUGUAGUGGUCAGCACGCUGGGCGCGUAUUCUAGAGGUCCGUGGUUCGAGUCCCGGCGAAGGCG
rnacentral:tRNA from 1 species